UACCCAGACUCCUACGGGAGGCAGCAGUGAGGAAUAUUGGUCAAUGGGCGCGAGCCUGAACCAGCCAAGUAGCGUGAAGGAUGACUGCCCUACGGGUUGUAAACUUCUUUUAUAAAGGAAUAAAGUGAGGCACGUGUGCCUUUUUGUAUGUACUUUAUGAAUAAGGAUCGGCUAACUCCGUGCCAGCAGCCGCGGUAAUACGGAGGAUGCAAGCGUUGUCCGGAAUCAUUGGGCGUAAAGAGUUCGUAGGUGGCACGUUAAGUCUGGUGUUAAAUGCAGAGGCUCAACCUCUGUUCGGCACUGGAUACUGGCGAGCUUGAAUGCGGUAGAGGUAAAGGGAAUUCCUGGUGUAGCGGUGAAAUGCGUAGAUAUCAGGAGGAACAUCGGUGGCGUAAGCGCUUUACUGGGCCGUAAUUGACACUGAGGAACGAAAGCCAGGGUAGCAAAUGGGAUUAGAUACCCGAGUAAC
rnacentral:rRNA from 1 species